rnacentral:rRNA from 1 species
GUGGGGAAUUUUGGACAAUGGGCGAAAGCCUGAUCCAGCCAUGCCGCGUGCAGGAUGAAGGCCUUCGGGUUGUAAACUGCUUUUGUACGGAACGAAAAGACUCUGGUUAAUACCUGGGGUCCAUGACGGUACCGUAAGAAUAAGCACCGGCUAACUACGUGCCAGCAGCCGCGGUAAUACGUAGGGUGCAAGCGUUAAUCGGAAUUACUGGGCGUAAAGCGUGCGCAGGCGGUUAUAUAAGACAGAUGUGAAAUCCCCGGGCUCAACCUGGGAACUGCAUUUGUGACUGUAUAGCUAGAGUACGGUAGAGGAGGAUGGAAUUCCGCGUGUAGCAGUGAAAUGCGUAGAUAUGCGGAGGAACACCGAUGGCGAAGGCAAUCCCCUGGACCUGUACUGACGCUCAUGCACGAAAGCGUGGGGAGCAAACAGGAUUAGAAACCCGGCUAGUCC